UACGGCCUUAUCAUGUUGAAACACCAGUUCUCGUACGAUCACCGAAGUUAAACAACGUCAAGCCUGGUCAUUACCUAGAUGGGGGACCGCAUAGGAAUACCAACUGCUGCAUG